UGAAUUAGAACUUGAGACUGAGAGGAAUAAUCUGCAAAUAACAAUUUGCCUUUUAAGUUGGCCUGACGUGGUCUAUUUUUUCGAAAAAGAUAAAGAUAAAACAAAGCACUCACAUUUUGAAGCUUUUACGAGCCAACGGAAUUUCCACUUCCGACCGGAAAACGAAGAUCUACUUAGCUUGCUCGAAUCAAUGGAUUCAGAUGAGGGGGCUAGAGCAGUGGAGAGUUCUUCCUCACAGGCACUGGUUUUAUAUGAAGCAGAUUCCAUUUUGGAACCUUAUGAGGGUAUGGAAUUUGAAUCUGAAGAUGCCGCCAAGAUAUUUUAUGAUGAGUAUGCACGACGAGUUGGAUUUGUCAUGCGUGUGAUGUCAUGCCGUCGAUCCGAGAGAGAUGGUAGGAUUCUUGCCCGUCGACUUGGGUGUAAUAAGGAAGGCCACUGUGUUAGUAUUCGAGGUAAAUUUGGGCCAGUUCGAAAACCACGAGCGAGUACAAGGGAAGGUUGUAAGGCAAUGAUUCAUGUGAAGUAUGAUAAAUCCAGUAAAUGGGUGAUUACCAAAUUCAUAAAGGAUCAUAAUCAUCCACUUGUGGUGUCCCCACGUGAAGCUCGUCAAACAAUGGAUGAGAAGGAUAAGAAAAUUCAAGAAUUAACUGCAGAGCUUCGGAAUAAGAAACGGUUGUGCACAACAUAUCAGGAACAGCUAACAGCAUUUACGAAAAUUGUUGAAGAGUAUAGUGACCAGCUAUCGAAAAAAGUUCAAAAUGUUGUAAGCAAUCUUAAAGAAUUUGAGUCCAUAGAUCGGGAGCUUUCGCAACAUAGAUAGCCUCUGCAUUGAGAUUUCCAAAACUCUCCAAUGAGGACAAUUAAUGGCUGGGCCCAUGAGGCUGCCCUUGUAAUUGCCUAUGUUGCACGGAUACAAUACAAGAUAUGCGAUAUGAUACGACAAGUCUACAAAAACUAGGAUAUGUAUAUGUGCAGGCUGCAGCCAUAGGAAGAAUUAGUGACAGAAAUCCAAGAUGACUUUGAUUAUGUAGACAUGGAAGCUCUGAUGGAGCUAUUUUAUGUGGUGAUCCAUCCAGGUUCAUAGAGCUAUGCACUUUAGUCAUUCUGCGUAGCAACUUGAAAGCAUUUCCAGGGUCUAUGAGCAUGUUCUAAAUGGUGAUAGGUAAUAUCAUAGGGUAUUAAGCAGUGCCUAAUUGCCUUACACGGGGCACAGAUAUCUAGACAUGGCAGAUAAAUAGUAUCCAUUUUGUAGGAGGAAUAUGCUUGCAUUUUAUAAUUGUGUAAACAAAUUCGCCAGUACAUAUAAUCGAUACCAGCAGGGAUGUGUUUACUUCU